AUGUGGUUUGAAAAUUCUUGGGGCAAAACUGCCUUCCUGUUGCUUUUGGAAACUACAGUCCAGAAAUGGAAAGGAGGCUCGCUGCAACCAUGGAACACUUGGAAGAUGAAUUCAGUUCUCUUUCCGUUUACAAGUUUACACACACAUGGAGCCAGCCAGGUACCUUCUGCCAUGCAAACCAGUGAAUGAACUUUCUCAUCUGCUUCCCUGCCCUCUCUGCUCCAUCGUACCACAAACAGGAUAAGGGUGUAUCAGAUUUGAAUGGAGCCUUAAAGAAUAUACGAGCUACUCUCUACAAAAACCUGGCCGAGUGGUAAGACUCAUAGGACUGAUUGUUUACCAGACAAGCAUCCCCAUCCAUUCUUUCUCUUUCAGGAACCCUUGAGAAUCCAUCUCUCAGGGCCAAAGGGGUCACAUUGAGCCUUGAUAGAAAAAAACAACUCAUGGCUUAGAGCUUAUGGACUUGGAGCUGGAUACAUACUGGAUGCAUUUGGGAUUGUC
rnacentral:lncRNA from 1 species